rnacentral:lncRNA from 1 species
GGGGUAGAAAAAUAUAAAUACAUAUUGUUUUGCAAAUAGAUUUAAUUCAAUUUAAUUUCAGUACUCAUUUUUUUUCUAGGGAAGACGGACCUGGGUAUGGUCAGAGUGCCACGAUAAAGUUUAAUCAUUUAUUUGUUUAUUUAAUACUAUUUGAAUAUAACUAUAAUUACGUGACUCAACAUAUCCUUUAGUUAUAAUAAUGGUGUGUUGAACAAUUUUGUGUGUAAAAAGAUUUAAUUUAAAACUUUUC